rnacentral:lncRNA from 1 species
UGCCUGUGUAAUGAACUAAUGAAAACGUUACAAAAAUCCUGAAAAAUGGAGUUCAAAGAACUUCCAGGCUAGUGAAAACAUCCUGUGCUGAGAGGAUUGGGCACCCAAGGGAGGGACUGGAAACUCCAUUCUGCCUGCUGUGCUACGCCUUUGCACCUUUUCCACUUGGCUGCUCCUCGAUUAUAAGACUUAUGAUAAACCAGUCAUAAAAUAAACAUUCAACUGGGAAUUGAGCUUGGAAAAUUCCAGAUUGCUGACAUUUGGGAUAUGGUGUGAGACUCAUAAUUUUAAAGAGAUGGAGAACCAUUGGUGGAUUUUGAUGAGUGAUAAGAUGUGGUCGUUUGCAAGAAACAUUACUCUUGGAACUCUGAAGGUGGAUCAGAUCAGGACUUGUCUAAUUGAAAUGUCAUCUUUCCUCUGUACACCCACUUCCCUGAAGAGUUCCUUCAUGUUGUCUGAGGCAUUGAGAUAAAGAAAAAGACAGAGGAGUUCUGCUUUUCAGUGCCUUACAUCACCCAGACAGUUGGCAGCCAGGAGUCAGGCAGCUGCCACACUCUUCACGUAUCUAUUUAAAGUUCAAAGAGACACUGGAUAACAAUAACAAAGAGGUAAGAGUGGCCCUGACCAGCCCACCCAACAACAGGAAGAAUGGCUGAAAAAGGUAAGAUUUAAGGCACCCAACUCUCUUAGCAAAAAACAUUCCAGGCUCCCAGGUUUAUUUUCUGUUUCCCUGUUAUUCUGAAGAGCAAGGUAUCUCUUCUAAAGGAGCAUUAAUCACAUUAUGUUAGUGUGACUGCAAAAAUGCAUUAGAUAUGCAAUUUAUGGACCGCAUCUAUACAUUAAGUGAGUAACUUUGAAAGGUUCAAAGAAACAAAAGAGUUUAAUUUGCUCAUGCUUGUUUUGAAAAUUGAGUUAGAAGCAGGUUAUUCUCCAGCGUUGUACUGGAUUUGAAUUUGAAGUACGGUGGUGCACUGGGCUAGAAUUAAGGAUAUUUUAAUUUUGUGUUGGAUGUGCUACUCAAUGGCCAUGUGAAUUUGGGGAAAUCCUUCUACCUUUCUGUGUUUUUUGACUGUCAAAAAUAAAUAAAAUAGGCUUAGUCA